AGAGUGCACGAAGCCGCCGGGCGCGCCGUCGUAGGCGGCCGGACCCUGGCUGGAGAGAGCGGCGAGGGUCUGGUACAUCUCCUCCGGCUGCUCGGGUGCGAAGGGGCUCAGCUUGGCGCCGCGGCUGGACCACAGCAGCUUGCUGGCGGUCGCGGCUUGGUCGAGGUCAGUGAACAGCAGCAAGUCCUCCCAGCUCGACAGGUUGCCCCCGGGGCCCGCGACCCCAGGCGCCGAAGGUCCGUGGGGAGCCCCGAAGGGAUGCGAAGCGUAGGAACUGAGCAGCAGCGAGCGGGCCGGGGGUCCGGCCGCCGCCUCCGUGUCGAGCUGAGGCGUCCCGCAGUUGCUGGCGCCGCCGGGGCCCCGCUCUCCGCCCCGGGAGCAGGAGGAGGACGAGGAAGAGAUGGGGGAAGGCGGCGUGGAGGGCUCCCGCGCUGGAAAGGCUCUGGAGUCGCUGGCGUCCGCACCCGCGGCCCCGAAGCGCUUCGGCAAGCACCAGCCGCCGUCAGUCAAGGCCAUCCACGGUCCGGCGCCGCUCCAAGCUGACGUCUAGCUCUCGGGCGGGCGCUGCGCAUGGAGAACGGCCGCGGCGGAGGGUGCUCCCAGGCGCGGAGAGAAGCCGAGGGCGCCAGCGGGCGAGCGCGAGUCCGGGGUCUGCGCCGCGCUGCUGGUGAAUAAAAAGGAGAGAGGAGGCGCCUCUUACUGCUCUGCCGGAAAACUGCAGCCUGGGCUCCUGAUUGGACUCACCGAGCCCUAAACAAACAGCGCUCGCCGAAGGGUGC
rnacentral:lncRNA from 1 species